GUUUAAGCGUGUAGGUGUGUGUUCCAGGUAAAUCCGGUUCACUUUAACACUGAGGCGUGAUGACGAGGCACUACGGUGCUGAAGCAACAAAUGCCCUGCUUCCAGGAAAAGCCUCUAAGCAUCAGGUAACAUCAAAUCGUACCCCAAACCGACACAGGUGGUCAGGUAGAGAAUACCAAGGCGCUUGAGAGAACUCGGGUGAAGGAACUAGGCAAAAUGGUGCCGUAACUUCGGGAGAAGGCACGCUGACACGUAGGUGAAGUGAUUUACUCAUGGAGCUGAAGUCAGUCGAAGAUACCAGCUGGCUGCAACUGUUUAUUAAAAACACAGCACUGUGCAAACACGAAAGUGGACGUAUACGGUGUGACGCCUGCCCGGUGCCGGAAGGUUAAUUGAUGGGGUCAGCGCAAGCGAAGCUCCUGAUCGAAGCCCCGGUAAACGGCGGCCGUAACUAUAACGGUCCUAAGGUAGCGAAAUUCCUUGUCGGGUAAGUUCCGACCUGCACGAAUGGCGUAAUGAUGGCCAGGCUGUCUCCACCCGAGACUCAGUGAAAUUGAACUCGCUGUGAAGAUGCAGUGUACCCGCGGCAAGACGGAAAGACCCCGUGAACCUUUACUAUAGCUUGACACUGAACAUUGAGCCUUGAUGUGUAGGAUAGGUGGGAGGCUUUGAAGUGUGGACGCCAGUCUGCAUGGAGCCGACCUUGAAAUACCACCCUUUAAUGUUUGAUGUUCUAACGUGGACCCGUGAUCCGGGUUGCGGACAGUGUCUGGUGGGUAGUUUGACUGGGGCGGUCUCCUCCUAAAGAGUAACGGAGGAGCACGAAGGUUGGCUAAUCCUGGUCGGACAUCAGGAGGUUAGUGCAAUGGCAUAAGCCAGCUUGACUGCGAGCGUGACGGCGCGAGCAGGUGCGAAAGCAGGUCAUAGUGAUCCGGUGGUUCUGAAUGGAAGGGCCAUCGCUCAACGGAUAAAAGGUACUCCGGGGAUAACAGGCUGAUACCGCCCAAGAGUUCAUAUCGACGGCGGUGUUUGGCACCUCGAUGUCGGCUCAUCACAUCCUGGGGCUGAAGUAGGUCCCAAGGGUAUGGCUGUUCGCCAUUUAAAGUGGUACGCGAGCUGGGUUUAGAACGUCGUGAGACAGUUCGGUCCCUAUCUGCCGUGGGCGCUGGAGAACUGAGGGGGGCUGCUCCUAGUACGAGAGGACCGGAGUGGACGCAUCACUGGUGUUCGGGUUGUCAUGCCAAUGGCACUGCCCGGUAGCUAAAUGCGGAAGAGAUAAGUGCUGAAAGCAUCUAAGCACGAAACUUGCCCCGAGAUGAGUUCUCCCUGAGACUUUAGGUCUCCUGAAGGAACGUUGAAGACGACGACGUUGAUAGGCCGGGUGUGUAAGCGCAGCGAUGCGUUGAGCUAACCGGUACUAAUGAACCGUGAGGCUUAACCUUACA
rnacentral:rRNA from 1 species